rnacentral:rRNA from 1 species
AACGAACGCUGGCGGCAUGCCUAACACAUGCAAGUCGAACGAGACCUCCGUGUCUAGUUGCGCACGGGUGCGUAACGUGUGGGAACCUGCCCUUAGGCUCGGAAUAACUCCCUGAAAGGGGUGCUAAUAUCGGAUAACGUCCUCGGACACAAGAUUCAUCGGCUUUGGGUGGGCCCGCGUUCGUUUAGCUUGUUGGUAGGGUAAGAGCCUAUCAAGGCGACGAUCCAUAGCUGGUAUGAGAGCAUGAUCAGCAACACUGGGGGAGGGACACGGCCCAGACUCCUGCGGGAGGGAGCAGGGGGGAAUCAUGGACAACGGGCGAGAGCAUAAUCCAGCAGGGCCGCGUAAGUGAUGAAGGGGGUAAGAUAGUAAGGCUCUUUUACCCGCGAUGUUAAUGAGGGUCCCGAGAAAAUAGGCUCGGCCUAACUCCGU